rnacentral:rRNA from 1 species
UCCCAAUCUCAAACAAGCGAGAGGACCGCCCGAACUUAAGCAUAUCAUUCAGGCGAGGAAAAGAAACUAACGAGGAUCCCUUAGUAACGGCGAGUGAAAAAGGGC